rnacentral:rRNA from 2 species
UGGGGAAUAUUGGGCAAUGGGGGGAACCCUGAACCAGCCACGUCGCGUGAAGGAAGACGGCCCUACGGGUUGUAAACUUCUUUUGUAAGGGAAUAAAGUGAGCCACGUGUGGCUUUUUGCAUGUACCUUACGAAUAAGGAUCGGCUAACUCCGUGCCAGCAGCCGCGGUAAUACGGAGGAUCCGAGCGUUAUCCGGAUUCAUUGGGUUUAAAGGGUGCGCAGGCGGGAGAUUAAGUCGGCGGUGAAAUUUUGCAGCUUAACUGUAAAAGUGCCAUCGAUACUGGUUUCCUUGAGUGUAGAUGAAGUAGGCGGAAUUUGUGGUGUAGCGGUGAAAUGCAUAGAUAUCACGAGGAACUCCGAUUGCGCAGGCAGCUUACUAAACUACUACUGACGCUCAGGCACGAAGGCGUGGGGAUCAAACAGG